rnacentral:rRNA from 1 species
GAUGAACGCUGGCGGCGUGCCUAAUACAUGCAAGUCGAGCGAACAGACGAGAAGCUUUGCCCUCUCUGGCUUGCGCGGGGCGGGGGUGUGAAACAUGGAUAAAACACACCUAUAACAGGGGGAACACCGCGGGAAACCAGAUCAUAUACCGGAAUAUAUUUAACUUCGCAGUUCAAAAGAGUGAGAGACGUUUCUGGUGUCACUUAGAUGUGUACGCGCCGUAUAAGCUAGUGGGUGAGGUAACGGCUCACCAAGGCAACGAUACGGAUCCGACCUGAGAGGGUGAUCGGCCACACUGGGACUGAGACACGGCCCAGACUCCUACGGGAGGCAGCAGUAGGGAAUAUUCCGCAAUGGGCGAAAGUCUGACGGAGCAAUGCCGCGUGAGUGAAGAAGGUUUUCGGAUCGUAAAACUCUGUUGUAAGGGAAGAACAAGUACGUGAGUAACUGAACGUACCUUGACGGUACCUUAACAGAAAGCCACGGCUAACUACGUG